UAGGGAAUCUUCGGCAAUGGACGGAAGUCUGACCGAGCAACGCCGCGUGAGUGAAGAAGGUUUUCGGAUCGUAAAGCUCUGUUGUUAGAGAAGAACGUUGGUAGGAGUGGAAAAUCUACCAAGUGACGGUAACUAACCAGAAAGGGACGGCUAACUACGUGCCAGCAGCCGCGGUAAUACGUAGGUCCCGAGCGUUGUCCGGAUUUAUUGGGCGUAAAGCGAGCGCAGGCGGUUCUUUAAGUCUGAAGUUAAAGGCAGUGGCUUAACCAUUGUACGCUUUGGAAACUGGAGGACUUGAGUGCAGAAGGGGAGAGUGGAAUUCCAUGUGUAACGGUGAAAUGCGUAGAUAUAUGGAGGAACACCGGUGGCGAAAGCGGCUCUCUGGUCUGUAGCUGACGCUGAGGCUCGAAAGCGUGGGGAGCAAACAGG
rnacentral:rRNA from 1 species